AAAAUCAAAACCAAAAAGAACCCCAACAACCCACAAAGAGCAAGGAGUUUGUCUAGUGUUGGAGCACUAUUCCUGGGCAUGGGGCCUGCCCUGCACUGUGAUUUGGUAGACCUAGUGACACUCUAUUGGAGAAAACUGAUUUUUCCCCUUCCCGGAAGCUAUCAAUCCCAAGUAGCUUCUUAGGAGUGGGGCUUUGCAUCCACCUCCUCUUCUCAGUGCUAGGAUUUUUUGUGUGGUUUAAAACUCUGCAGCUUUUGUACGGUCAGCCUGCUUUACUCCAUAACUCAGGACCAUUUACCCCGGCGUAGUACCUCCCACAGUGUGCUCUGCAGUCUCACAACCAUCUUAUUCAAGAAAAUGCCUCAUGGAUAUGCCCACGAGCCAGUCCGAUGGAAGUCAUUCUCCAGCGAGAAUCCCUCUUUUCAGGUGACUCACGUUGGCGUCCAGUUGGUGAAAGCUGACUAGCCCAGCCUGCAGAGGCAGUCGGCAUGCCUGCCCGGUGUUCCUUUGCACGGAAGUCCCAGAGAGCGAGUGCUGUGGAAGAGUCAAGCAUUGGCAUGUAAGGAGGAAGCUGUGAGCUGGGAUGAAUCCAGAAACGUUUUCUCAGGGGUAGUAUUUUGUGAUAGUGUCACCGGAGUCGAGCAAGUAUCAGUUGGAGGCAUACAAAACUGAGGAUCUAGAGUCAAAGAACCCAGAUCCUUGAAGAUCUCUAGUAACUUCUAGCGAAUGGGAAAAUCUACAAAGCUGAUUCUUUAGCUUUGAAUGUAAACAAACAUCUGAGCUCGAGUUUCUCAGUGUUGUCUUUCCUAGGGUCAUCUGCCAUGUGUCCUGCACUCCCAGAAUCCUGUUCUCAGUCAGUGGUCUCCUUCAGCUGUUAUGGUGACCAUAACUGAUGCUCUCAGGUACUCAUGCGCUAGCUCAAGUGAAGAAUUCCCACUUGACCAUGUCCUUGAAGUCCUCAUUAGUGAUGGAACUUAUAGGCCCUGGGAUAAAGUUUAAUAACUGACAAAACAUUUCCUUACUCUUCAUCUCAUUUGACUGUCAUGUGGAUAUGACCUGUCACCUGCGAGGAAUCGCUGUGUCAGUGUGAGGGUGAAGAAAAGAGACCAGUGUGACCUGUGUGGUCCUGCCUUUGCCUGCCAGUGGGCUUUUCUUUUUCCUACUGAAGAAUGGAAUCUUUAAAAACUUGAAUUUGUACUCCAGCAGCUGAUUAAUCAUUUGUAGGAAUUUUGUUUACAGGGACCACAUUGGCUGGAGCCUUUCAGACUUUCCCCCUAAGAUCCAGGUGUGGAAAGUGAUACGUUCGCAGAGAACCGGUGAAAUUCAGCUGGCCCAGGCCAUUCAGUGUGAAUGGCAUUUGUUUGCAACUCCCCAUGCAGUAUCCACAGUGUGCCACAUGCCACCCUAUCCUGAGAGGUCAGCAAAGAGGUUAAUGUUAUUAGUGAUAUUAUUUUCAGGUCUGAGAGGUUCAGAGAUAUUAAGGAAUUAUACCAUGGGACUGCAUAGAAUGGUCCAAAUGGGGUUUAAACCCGGGGCUGGAACCCUAACUUCUACUUGUAGAGCUCAUGAGGUUUCUUGAAUUUGUUGGUCUGGGUUUUGUUGAGCUCUACUGAGGCCCAUUUCCAGAUUGGCUCCAAGGGAGUUGCAGUGGAGCUGGGAAACUUACUCUGGUAGUACAGAGCAGAGCUGGGAACUUUAUUCUGGUAGGACAGAACUAGUCUGUCCCCGGACUUCGGGCGCUGUCCUCUCUCCAGUCUCCUUGGCUAUCAUAGGUAGUGCUAUUAUUUUGGGUGGUCACUACCAGACUUUCUAAUCUGUUUUCAAACCUUUCUCCCAGCUUCUCCAGGACACUGGAUUUUGUGGGUAUCGGAAGGGUCCUUUGGCUCUGGGCUGGAGUCAGAUGAGCUAUGAAGAAAGGAAGCCAGAAGAGAGCAUCAGUUCCCAUGGAAGUGAAGUUACAGGUGACUGUGAGCUACCUCACGUGAGUAGAGUAUACUCUUAACCGCUCGGUCAUGUCCCAGCCUGAACCCGUGUCUGUAAUACAAUCUAUAGACGUUGUUUCUCUUGCUUUUGCUUUUUAAAGCAAUAUAGAAAAAGGAGCAAAGGUUAGAGUUGGGGCUUUCUGACAUGGUGGCAAAAUAACCAGAAAUAAAUAAUUUAAGUUUGGAUCCAUUGUCAUUCACCGCCCUCCCCCCCACACACACAUACUGUGGUAAGGCAGAGCAUCAUGGGGGGGAACAUGUGUUAGAGAAAAUUGUUCAUCUCGUAGUAGAUGGAAAGGAGAGGUUUGGACAAUGUGGGAGGGAGGGAAGAGGAGAGCAAGGAAGGGGUGGGCACCAAGGGUGGUCUAGAGACAAGACAGAUCUACCGAAGGUAUACUCUGAAUGACCCUUCAACUAGAUCCUACUUCCAUCACCUCCUGAUAGCCCAUCAAACUGUGAACCCCUCAAUCAAUGAGUUAAUUCAUCAAUGAUGUCAUAGCUGGCAUGAUUCAUUGAUACACCCAAAGCGAUCUCAAUGCAUCAGUGGCAAGAAUUUCAUCACAGGAGGGCAUUUCAAGAUCAAAACAAAAUAGGGCUCCAAGGGGUUAUAAAAAGUCCCAGACUAGGUCUGGUGGCUAAGUGACCCAAGUGGAACACUUACAAGCUAUGCCAUAUUAUCUCUCCCACUAAUAUGAAUGAGAAUAGAUUCUUCUUAUCUUUCUUGCAUGCCUCCUGAGAAAAUGAACCACAGGAAGUCUAAAGGAAAUGCUCCGUAAAUGCUGAAAUGUUCCAAAGCCUGAAAAUGUUCCAAAUAUGUUACAGUGUUGGCCAAGUGUAGCUGCUGUACCCUGCCUGUGUCGAGGACCGGAAACCUCACAUGAGGUUGCACUGAUCUCACAGAGGUGCCUUCCCCAGCCCCACCUCCAGAUGUUCCAUGGGGGUUUGAUGUGAGGAGGAGGAGUUAACCAUACCUACUGUCUCUGAAGAGGUCAAGAUGCUGUUGCUGCUGUCACCCUCAAUACAUGGAAGAAGUAGAACUCCAAGAAAUUCAAGAGUCUCAACUGGUGAUAUCCAACUGGCUGAUCAGCAGGUUAGGUUUGAACUCAUGGCGAUCCACCCCGAGGAUGCCCAGGAGCAAGUUUCCUCCAGUUCACAAGCUCUCAUUGGUAAGUUUCAGAGGUUCUGUCAGCUGGCUUGAAAGCAUUGUUUUAAAAUCACAAUAAUUAAUUCACACAACUAAAAAAGUAGUGAAGUGAUACUAAAUGUUGACAACUUGCUCUUUUCCUAUUUUGACAUAUAGGUAUGUAUAGUAAGUAUACACUGGAGUCACUCAUAUUAUUUGUUCUUAGUGUGCUGGAGAUGGUACACAGUGGUGCGAACCUGAUGUCUCAUCUACAUUUUAUGUUCAGGGAUGUUCCAUUGCCAGCUUGAGCUUGUCCAGGAUGGAAGUUUUCACCAUGGACAUUGGCAAACAGAGCAAAUGAGGGCCUCCUAACUGUGAACCAGUCACUAAACAUUUGAAGCCUAGUGCUGGCCUGAGAGGGAGAUUAUACCGAAGUAAGGGACAGGCUUUGAGCCCAGGGCACACAUAAGCCCUUUUGUUUCUUGGCUUAACUUCCACCCAGUCUGGCCCUGCAUUGGACCAUCAUAGACAAGCUGCCUCCUGAGAUUAGAAAACCACCCUUUACAAGACUUAUUCAGCCUUCAGGGUUGAGUUCAACAUAAAUCUGUAUAGUGAAGCUCUUCCUAUAGCCAUAUAUUCUAUAUUUCUAUCACAAAAGUAGUUGUAUAUUCAUUACACUUUGUACACAGAAAUACCUGUGACAUAGCUUUGGUAGGGUAAAUGUGGGUUUUGAAAUAUUAAUGCCAAUUUAUUUACCCAAACUUACAUUACCCUAAUAACCCAUUGUUGUAUUGGUUAACCUCAAAGUUCGAUAUCAUGCAGUUCCUAUCCUGUGUAUAUUUUAUAGGAUCUCAUGAAAUAAGAGUCACACUCAGGCGCGGACGUUGUGGAAAUUGUCAAUGGUGCUCUAAUUCAAAACUUCCGUUAGCACUGGGCCUCUGUCUCUUCAUCCGGCUAAAGCUAAAUGUGAUCUGGAUGCUGGUUGACAGUCCUUUGCCUCUACUGUAAUGAAACUACAGCCUGUUCUCUUCUGCAGAGCUUAGCUCCCAUACUCCACACUGUGGGGCACUAGAGUUAAUAACCUCUUAAAGUCUUUCAUAGCCGCACAAGCUUGAAGACUAGUAUGAAGACCGUGCUUUACACUAGAUGGGCCAUUUUCUAGAAGAUAGCUUCAGCUUCACCCCUCAGUGCCAGCUUAUGGGGUGAUCACCCAGAACUCUCUGUUGCGAAGAAAAGACUUGAAGAGAUCAAGCCCUUCAGGCUUUCUGGUCAGAAGCUCUUACUGCCUUAGGGGCAAACUGCAGCUGACCUCAAACCAAAGGGAUGGGCAUGGAUGAGGUGUUUCCUUUUACAAGAAAUGGUUGAAAUCUGUCCGGGAGUUUUGAUUUCAUCGUUGGCUGAGUAGUGAAAAGGAGUAGGAAGAAGGAAGGCAUAAGAUGUAAGGAGAAAUAAUUGAAGAUUCUGACAGGAAAUUAGACCAGACGUACCGGUGCAUGUCUGCCCCCGGUAUUCAUGAGACCAAGGUUAAAGGGUCACAUUGAAUUUGAGGAAAGCAUGCGCUACAGAGAGAAGUCUUGUCUCAAAAAUAAACGAAUAGGCAGGGAAUGAUCACCUGGGUGUUGAGCAGAGACCCAAGCUGAGCUUGCUCUUUUCUGUCUGCUCUCAGUGUGCUUUUCCAGAUUCCAAUGACCUCUACUCACUUAGGUCAAAACUGUUAACUGAAGGGAGAAAACUUUGAACUGUGGUUUGCUUGAGAACCCACAACGCCGCACUAGAGAAAGAAGGACUCCAUAAACUCAUGAGUCCAGGACAGCCUGGAAGCAGAAAGAGAAUCCCUUUAAGUUUCAGACGGAGGAAUGGAGUCCACAGAGACGUGUGUCAGGUCCAGUGUCAUACAGAGUGAGAAUCAAGGUUGGGACACUCAGGUGAACCUCCAGCCUCCACCUGCUUGUCAGCUGUCAUGUGACCGAACAUCCUUCUGUUUGUCCUCCUUCAGCCACUGGCAACAUUAAGAAAAAGAAAUCAUUACUUACAGAUCCUUGACCAUGGAUGCAAGGACAGUGCAUCAUUUUCUGCCAGCUUGGGAAUGGACUAAGGGAUGGGGAAGAGGGGGGCAAGCAAGCUCCAAUCUCAGCUGUCACUUUGCGAAUUUCAUCUGCCCUGUGCCAGGCACUGGAUUUAUUGCUGGUGAGAAAGAUGACUCAUGUUCUCCUGGUGCCAAGCAACUAAUUUAUCUCGCCAUGGCUUGGUAGGCACAAACGUUUAGUGUGUGAUCAAAAAUAGAGACCACCUGUCACCCAGUACCUUGGAACUGGUCGUCAACUGAGAACUUACUCAAACAUUUAGCCCAAAUACAACCAGAUAGACUUUGUUUUAGUGUUCAUCUUUUGGAAGACAGUUACAGAAAUGAGAAGGCAUGUAAUGGAGAGUGGCAUCUCAAUUGGAAGUCACCUGUCCUGGGUUUAUUCCCAUUUGAUUUAUUAUAUUGACUUGCCUCUUUCUUUCUUUCUUUCUUUCUUUCUUUCUUUCUUUCUUUCU
rnacentral:sRNA from 1 species